rnacentral:miRNA from 1 species
UGGUGGUUUGCAAAGUAAUUCA